rnacentral:rRNA from 1 species
GAUGAACGCUGGCGGUGUGCCUAAUACAUGCAAGUCGAGCGAACAGACGAUAAGAUUGCGCCCUUAACGUUAGCGGCGGACGGGUGAGUAAGACGUACAUAACCAUCUUAUAUUUCUGGGAGAACUUCGUGAGACCGGAGCCAAUACUAGCUAAUAUAAUCUACGGCAUGAUUCAAUAGUGAAUGACAGCUUUGCCGUCUCAUUUAGAUGAUGCCGCAUUAGCUAGUUGGUGUGGUAAGGGCACACCAAGGCGACGAUGCGUAGCCGGUCUGAGAGGAUGAUCAGCCACACUGGAACUGAGACACGGUCCAGACUCCUACGGGAGGCAGCAGUAGGGAAUAUUCGGCAAUGGGCGCAAGCCUGACGGAGCAACACCGCGUGAGUGAAGAAGGUCUUCGGAUCGUAAAGCUCUUUUAUUGGGAAAGAACAACUGUGUGUGAAACUAUCCACGUCUUGACGGUACCUAAUCAGAAAGCAACGGCUAACUACGUG